rnacentral:rRNA from 1 species
AUGCAUCCCCAUCUAACCCUACACAGGCAUCCUAUGUGUGCUGAGAUUAUUGAAGAAUUCCAGAAGUGCCAUGUGGAUCACCCCAUCAAAAAAUUCUUUGGUGAAUGCACGGAUCUUAAGAUUAAGCUUGAUCGAUGCUUCCGGCAGGAGGCAAACUUUGAAGAGAGCAAGAAAUUUAAAGAAAGGUUGCAGGCUUAUAAAAAGGAAAUGGCUGAGAAAGAAAAUGAAUCAUAG